AUGCCUGAUAGACGUGCACCCUCACGAUGGGGCAGGUGCCGUCAGCAGACGUUAUUUCCCCCUUGGGCUUCCCUUGUGCUUCAUCCUGCCCACCUUCACUUCCUGUCUCCCCAGCGAGACGCGAGGGCCCUGGAUGGGGAACCGUCCCUGCUCGCCCAGGGCCCGGCUCCGAGCCUGGCUCAGGGCGGAGCUGGUGAACCGACACGUGGACGAUGGGCGGCACUCCGAGCUUGCCCUCCGUUACAUUGCCUGCAGAGGGGAUGCAGCGGUAACAGUCACAGUGGAGGCAGGAGCACCAUCGGCUUGGACGGAUUAAGCCCUUCCCUCCAGUAGGGAACGUGCAGACUGAGCGGAUCCAUUGGGAUGUUCACGCAGCUCCAAGAAGUUGGCCAAGACUGAGAGGGUCAUAAUCAUGGAGGUCAGGCCUGGCUUUGGGCCACAGGACGUGUGCUCGCCUCCACUUUGGGUUGCCUUUCUCCAAAUGUCCCGGGCUUUAGGGUGGGCCAGGUGACACCAGUGGACCAGUCUUCACUGGAUUCCUCCACCAGCUCGAGUCUUCGAAGCCAGGAGCUCAAUGAGUCAGACUUUGAUUUGGGAUUUCCCUGGGAUGGACCACCGAGCUCACAGUGGGGCUCUGGAAGCAAGUACUGCCCGUCCCCCAAAGCUGGCUUCCUCUGCCUGCCAACUGCUUGUUGCUUUCUCUCCGGCCCGUUCUGGCUUGGAGAUGGCAUCAGAGCUUAGGAGUCAGACCUAUCUAGAUUCAAAUUCUCCGCUCUGGACAAGCGAGUCAGCCCCUCUGAGCUGGACUCUCUCCUCUAGAAUACGGACUCCACUCUGGCCUCCGUCUCCAAGUGAGAGGUGGUCAAGAUAGUUCUGGGACAGGCCAGCGCCUCCCACUUGUCCAUCAGCGCCGGCUCCCCGUCCUCUCGCCCACCGGCUUCUUUCACUCUUGCUGCCAUGUGUGACAGUCCCGUCAAGGGACAGCUGUGGGGGGCAGGGGUGAGGAAGCCUGUGAGGGGCAGGCCUGGACACGGCUGGGAAUGCCUGUGCCUGCAGGCGGGCCUCGGAGGUCGUCACACCGCAUCCGUGGAUUAGCUCGUUCCCCCAUCAGCACACUUGGCAGGUGUAACUUCAUCCGGACGCGGCGGAUUGCCCUGCGCUCUUCUUGGCCCCCUCGAAGAAGAAUUCUUUCCGUAUCAUCACUCUCUUUAUACAGAUUUACUAGAGGUUGUUUGUUCUUACAUUUCAGAUGUCAAGUUCUUUUCCAUUUUCAUAGCCCCUUGUGAUUCGUUUCUAAAGCCCCACCCUGUGGUUACAUGCAUAAUAUUUGGGGAAUUCAUGUAUUUCCAAAUAUUGUUAACAGUGGGGGAAAUAAAAAACAAAUUCUUGACCCCACCUAUGAUGACUCAACUCACGUAACCCUCGGGUCUUCGCCAGGGCCUGAGGAAGUGAUGGUGGGCAGGCAGCAUGCCCUGAGGUCCGCUGGUUCGGUUUGGACAAAGGCAUGGGGCUCCAGCUUGCCCCCGGCUUCCUGGAAGAGGUGAAAUUCCUUGAGGGGUCAUAAUCCGAAUGCACCCCACAGGCUUUCUCGAGGCCGCUGUCCACACUGGUCCUGUUCACACUGUCCACACUAACCACUGGUCCUUGAGCCUCUAGCGCAUCUGAUGCUCCAUCUUGAUGCGAUCUCAGGUGUGACAGAGAAGGGCGAGGCACCGUGUCCACCUGUGCGGCCGCGACACACAGGAAAAUGGUCUGGGUUUUGUUUCACUUGCGUGUCCUCCAGCUUCUGCCGUGUUCCUCACCUAGAAGGCGUUGGGAGGAUGGACAGCAAACAGGAGACCGUCCGGCUCAUCUUGACGUCUUCCCAUCCUCAUAGGUGCCCAAGUCCCAGAGGGGCCACGCGCACCUGCUGGGGUAAGGAAUGAACGAAAGAGGCCCGUCCCUUUGAGAGACCGCAGACUUCACUCAUU
rnacentral:lncRNA from 1 species